GAUGGAUCACUUCCAGCUCAGGAUAUUCUAUUCUAUUCUGUUAUGUUCUAUGACUUUAAAAGCUGCCUUUUCUCUGCACACACACAAGCCCAGCUAGUGCCGUCAUAGUUUGCCUGCUCCUCUCCAUGUCUAGUGUACUUCCCGGGGUACUUAAGUAUUCCCCGAAGAUCACGCUGCUUCUCCAGUCCCAUCACUUACAGCACGUUCCCAUUGUUUAGAGAGCAUAUGGAUCAGAACAACAUCUGUGUACACCACGGAGGCCACGGUUCCCAUCAGUUUUUGAUGAAUGGACCUCCACCAACCUUCAGUGCUCCUCGCAGAACGCCACGCACCGCUAUUACCUAAAAAUUAAUUGGAAACAUUAUUGGAAACAUUGCUUAAUGUAGCUCCAGAGACUGGCUGGGAAUUAAUGACUAUGGCUAGCUCUACCCCAUCCAAAAUUUCUUCUGAAAAACCUCAGGUGGUAAGGACAAACUGGAUAGAGAGCAGAGGGAAUGAUCCAGUCCCAGGAACUGAGCUGCAGUCCUGAAGGGUGACUCUGUUUUAUUUCAUCAGAUGCCUGAUCAUGGGAAUAUAUCAAAUAAACAAAAAUUUUUGGCAUCAGCCAUUUUA